GAUGAACGCUGGCGGCGUGCCUAAUACAUGCAAGUCGAGCGAACGGACGAGAAGCUUGCUUUUCUGAUGUUAGCGGCGGACGGGUGAGUAACACGUGGAUAACCUACCUAUAAGACUGGGAUAACUUCGGGAAACCGGAGCUAAUACCGGAUAAUAUUUUGAACCGCAUGGUUCAAAAGUGAAAGACGGUCUUGCUGUCACUUAUAGAUGGAUCCGCGCUGCAUUAGCUAGUUGGUAAGGUAACGGCUUACCAAGGCAACGAUGCAUAGCCGACCUGAGAGGGUGAUCGGCCACACUGGAACUGAGACACGGUCCAGACUCCUACGGGAGGCAGCAGUAGGGAAUCUUCCGCAAUGGGCGAAAGCCUGACGGAGCAACGCCGCGUGAGUGAUGAAGGUCUUCGGAUCGUAAAACUCUGUUAUUGGGGAAGAACAUAUGUGUAAGUAACUGUGCACAUCUUGACGGUACCUAAUCAGAAAGCCACGGCUAACUACGUG
rnacentral:rRNA from 1 species